GGAACUAAGUGACUUGAAUUCAAAAAGGGCAAAAAAGAAUACUUCAAGAUAUCGUGGAGGUCGAAAAGGGUACUUGUAUUAUGAAGCAGAGAUUGCUGACGAGCUUCAGAAACAAGAAAUCCAAGUUGCUGAUGUGCCUCGACAUCUGGUUUGGAUAAGAGCCCACUCUAGAGAAGAAAAUGGUGUGAUAACCUUUGACAAUCCCGUCGAUUUGGAAAUAGCUAAAGCAAUUAAAGUAUUAGAGGCACAACAAAUCCAAGGAGAAAUUGAUGCCAUUGGCCGAAAUGAUAUCCUAGCAAG